rnacentral:rRNA from 1 species
UACGAAGGGGGCUAGCGUUGCUCGGAAUCACUGGGCGUAAAGGGCGCGUAGGCGGAUCUUUAAGUCGGGGGUGAAAGCCCAGGGCUCAACCCUGGAAUUGCCUUCGAUACUGAAGAUCUCGAGACCGGAAGAGGUAAGUGGAACUGCGAGUGUAGAGGUGAAAUUCGUAGAUAUUCGCAAGAACACCAGUGGCGAAGGCGGCUUACUGGUCCGGUUCUGACGCUGAGGCGCGAAAGCGUGGGGAGCAAACGGG